GCAUCAGGGUCACACAAAAAAAAGGGCGACCGAUGUAAAAAUAUGUAUAAAUAUAAAAACACGGUGCGACUUUAAGAGAAUCAAAAAUAGCCCAGCCUUCCAUGUGAGCGCUUAGUAACUUCAGGAUUUUCUUCUCGUGUUGUCAUGUUUUAUUUUAAUUUGUCGGUGGGAAAUGCAUUCGGUAUAUAAGCGACGAACUGUUGGCUCACGCUCGGCACGUACCAAGUGGAAAGCGAAACGAAACCCAACAGGGAUAUACAAAACCACAUAACAAAUAGCCACUGCUGUGAUGAUGAAUGUUCCGCUCACGAGAAAUUCGUGUUUCUUUUUACUUUAUUCAAAGGCUUACCUUAAAAGAAAAGGAAAUGGAGUUUUUUUUUAUUAUUUUAGAAAGUGCGGCUGCUGCUGUGUUCACUGUUCUGGGCAUCCAAUCACCACAUCCUUUCGCUUCGUUCAAUUUUCAAGACACAGAAAAGGAAAGGAGGCGCAAUUCGGGAAAACUUUUAAGUGGCAGCAACACAGAAUAGAAAAGGUACUUCUAGCGCAACUCGUCGCUCACCGAAGACUGCCGAGAAAAAAAAAAUGAAAUAACAGCUGUGCCGAGAGAGAAACGGUUGUGCCAAAUAGCCCGAGUUCUAUACUGCUGAGCUGGGCGUUCCCAGCAGAGAAAAGUUCACGUGAAAGUCAGUUUUUGAUGUUCAUUCUUUCUUCUUACUUUUUGUUUGCGGCUGCUGCUGGGACGUGACUUCGUCUACCCAAUCCGCGUAUUCGUGGAUAUUUAUAUUCGUGUAUUCCAAGAGCGCGCCAGCACUGAUCGACUGCAUUCAUGGGCAAUCAACCAAGUUCCUCUAAUCAAUUGACGGUUGUCUAAAUGAGACGAAUAAGAAAUUUUCUAAUUAAGGGCAUUUGAAUCAAUCUUCUUCAAUGCAAGGGCAUUUGAGCUUU